rnacentral:rRNA from 1 species
GACGUAGGGGGCGAGCGUUGUCCGGAUUUAUUGGGCGUAAAGAGCUCGUAGGCGGCUUGGCAAGUCGGGUGUGAAACCUCCAGGCUCAACCUGGAGACGCCACUCGAUACUGCCAUGGCUAGAGUCCGGUAGGGGACCACGGAAUUCCUGGUGUAGCGGUGAAAUGCGCAGAUAUCAGGAGGAACACCGGUGGCGAAGGCGGUGGUCUGGGCCGGCACUGACGCUGAGGAGCGAAAGCGUGGGUAGCAAACAGG